UCCUGGUGAUUGCAGUGCACCGUGCUUCGAUCGGUUAACAGCAAGAAGACAAUUUAGCAGCAAGAUGAAGUUUAUUGGUUACCUUGGAGAAGAAAGGUGAGGCAGCAGAGCAGGGAGAGGAGAGGGACAAGUUCUCCCAUGGAGGAGAACCGAGGGGUGAAGCAGACAACGCAGAACUUUGGGUUGUUGAUGCAUGACGAGGUAGAGGAGCUGAUCUAGAAGGACAAACAAACAUGGCUAGUCUGGCUGGCCUCUGCGAAACUGGGGAGUUGCAAGUAGGUGGCCGAAUCAUCAGGCCUGUUCUUGUUGUUGUUGUUGUUUUUUAAAGCAUGGUGGAUCGAGGUGACAAAGCUAAUUUUAUUUCAAGUGAGGUCAGCUGCUUGCGGAGGACCGUUCAUCGGAUUCUCCUAGCUCGCUAGCUGGGUAAGCUUAUGGUUCAGACAUGCGGUGUGGUGCCAACUGCCAGGAACCAAAUUGUAAGGUCCCUGGCUGCAACGUGGGAACUCGGCGUUGUUAGAAUUUAAUAGGAUCACUAGCUCAAGAUGGAACCACAAAAUUAGAUGUAUAGUAGCACAUACCUUAAUUACUUGAGCUACGCAUUUUAUUAGAGCUUGUAAUCACGUCUAGGACU